CGCGGCGAGAGCAGAUGGACAUGGGUGUCGACCGCGCCCGCGGUGGCGAUCAUGCCCUCGCCGGAGACGAUCGAGGUGCCGGUGCCGACGACGACAUCGACGCCGUCGAGGGUGUCGGGGUUGCCGGCCCGUCCUAUGGCG
rnacentral:ncRNA from 1 species